rnacentral:lncRNA from 1 species
GGUAAGUUUGAUACUAGCCUGGCCCACCCAUAGCAAGUUCCAGGCCAGUUGAGGCUAUAUAGUGAGACCCUGUCUCAACUACCCAACAAAGCAACAACAACUGGAAAUAAAAUGUUAUUAAAAUAAUAAAAUUAUGAAUUAGGUGUGGUAGUGCUCACUUGUAGUCCUGUAAUAUCAGCACUUGGAAGGCUGAGGCAACAGAAUCACCAUGAGCUCCAGGCCAGCCUGGGCUUCAUAAGACCCUGGCUCAGAAAAAUCUGAAAGAAAAUCCACAAUAGAGUGAAAUGACGAAUAACUCACUCUGAAAGAAUAAUAAUAACAACUCACUCUGAUAGAAUAAUAAUAACAACUCACUAUGGUAGAACCUCAGUGUGUCUUUUUCCUGGAGGCCUGUGCUUUUAGAUGAAGGCUAUAGGUCCUUCAAAAACGAAAAGCAAGGACUGGAGAAACAGCCCAGCAGUUGAAAACACUUGCUGCUCUUCCAGAGACCUUAGUUUGGUUUCCAGCAUGCAAAUUAGCAGCUUACAGCAACCUAUAAUUCCAAUUCAGGGGAAUGUGAUGCCCUUUUCUCACUCUGAGAGCAACCUCCCCAACACAUACAGGAAAAAAUAAAAAUUAAAAAGGAAAGCAAAACACGUUUCUCUGAAUAUUUAAUAGUUUAUUUGAUUAGCAAAUGGGAAGGCAGCUACUUAAUCAGUUAAGAAGUCUUCUGGCAAGAAUGAAAAAGAAAAGAAAAAAGGAAGGAAGUUCUUUCCUGGAGAGUAGUACUUAAAGCAAGCUGUGGGAUAGUUUAAAAAAAAACUUAAAAGUCCUUUUAAGUUUAAAGUAAUUUUCUCUGCUUAGAGUCAAUGACAUAAAAAAUGGAUGAGUCCACUUAAUGGUGUUAGCCAUUCUUAUAAAAGUGUUUACCUUAAGUAAAUGUUGAUUUAUAUAUAAUCAUUGCAUGCUGGGAUAUAGACGUAUGGACAUAAUGAGGCCAAGAAGUUAUCAAUCAUCAUGUGAGAAAUCACGUAUAUUGGCUUGUUGAUGAGAAAGUUAAUCAUGAACAUUUUACAGUAGUACAGUAGUACUAUAAAAACAGUGUAUUCUUCUUACCUUCUGUGGCGGUUUGCAUGAAAAUGGUCUCCAUAGAGCUUCCCUUGUUGUUGGAACUGUUUGGGAAGGAUUAGGAGGUGUGACCUUGUUGGAUUUCAAAAGACUGGAUUGGUUCCCAGUGUCUCUGCUUCCUGUUUGUGGAUCAAGAUUUGGGGGCUCAGUUACUGCUCCAGUGCCAGGCCUGCCUACCUGCUGCCAUGUUCCCUGUCAUGAUAGUAAUGGACUGCUAUCUCUCUAGAACUGUAAGACCAAGAUAAACCCCUCCUUCUAUAGGCUGUCUUGGACAUAGUGUUUUAUCACAGCAACAGAAAAGUACCUAAUAAACCUUCAUAAUUGUAAUUGUACUUCCAACUUACUUGCUUUCUAUUGUCCCUCAUUAGAGCUCAGUGAAAACCUGGCUUCCAUUGAUGCCACCCCAUUGUCAUUGUUCUAUUGUAUGCUCUUGGGCCAUCACCAUCGUCAACUUCAGGGAACUAGUCCUUUCAGUAAAUGCUUUCCUCUUGACAUUUUCCCUAUUUUCUCAUUUAGAGAUUUCUAUUUUAUUGCUAUCUGGAUCUCUCAUCAGCACAAAACCCUAUUUAAUUUCUAUAUUAACAAUACUAUGAUAUGGAUUUUUGUUUGUUUGUUUUGUUUUUUGAGACAGGGUUUCUCUGUGUAGUCCUGGCUGUCGUGGAACUCUAUAGAACAGGCUGGCCUCGAACUCAUAAAUCCACCUGCCUCUGCCUCUGAAGUGCUGGGAUUAAAGGCAUGCUCCAUCAUGCCCGGCUUGAUAAGGAUUUUUUUUUUUAAAUUCUUUUUUUUUUUAGAUUUAUUUAUUGAUUAUAGGUAAGUACACUGUAGCUGUCUUCAGACACUCCAGAAGAGGGAGUCAGAUCUCUUUACGGAUGGUUGUGAGCCACCAUGUGGUUGCUGGGAUUUGAACUCUGGACCUUCGGAAGAGCAGUCGGGUGCUCUUACCCACUGAGCCAUCUCACCAGCCCUUGAUAAGGAUUUUUAACAUGAGUAUUUAUUUAGUUUGAUACCUCCUUCCCUUGGACUACACCUAGUUUGGGUAAAUCAUUUACUGCUAUUACACUAGCACUUAUUUUUAGAUGAUUUUCUGUGUCUCUAAUUAUAAUCUCUACUUUUUCUUUAGUAUGAAAUUCCUGUGCUGGUGAUAGGGCUCAGUAUGGUAAAACACUUGCCAUUAAGCCCAGUGACCUGAGUUAGAUCUCCUGAACUCACAUGGUAGAAGGAGAGAACUGACUCUAGCAAGUUGUUUUGUGACUGUCACAUACAUAUAUUGCAGGCAUAUGCGUGUGAGUGCACAUGUGUGCAACACUUCCUUUUUUGAGGAUGACUCUUAUUGCUUGCAAUGGUGUCACCUAUCUUGGGAUGGUUAGUUAAUGAAGUGAGAAUGGGGCUGGGAAUAUGAUUCAUUUGGAAGACUGAUUUCUGAGCAUACAUGAAGCUCUGGGCUUGUUCCCCAGCACAGCAUAAACCAGAUGUAGUUGCUUGAGCCCAUAAUCCCACCAUCUGGGAGGUAGAGACAGGAAGACCAGAUGGAGGCCAGCCUGAAAACAGAAUCCAUGCCCAAAACUAGU